rnacentral:tRNA from 2 species
GCGUCGAUGGUUUAGUGGUAAAAUUCUCCGUUGCCAUCCAAGCAGCGUCGGGGAGCCGGGGGUUCGAUUCCCCCUCGACGCA